CAGAUAUAUUGUCUAAGAAGCCAUCAGAGGGAUCUAAGCUAUCAGCUCCAUACUGGAAGUUUAAGGAAAUUAAAACAAGCAGAAGGUCAUACCAUGCCUGUUGGUUAUGCUGAGAGGGUUCUGCCCGCUGGUGACGGCCUUGACCCUCUAAGUAACAACAGACGAGGCUGGAUAAGAGCUUCACCAGCUGGUUAAUGUUGUAAGAAAGAACUCCAUGAAGACUGUUCACACUCAGAGUAGAAAGAAGUCACCUUACAGUAGCUUCAGAACUAGUUUUAUGAGAGAAUCUAGGAUGAAAGAAGAAGAGACCGUUUGAUCAAACGUCGAAAACUAAAACACCUCCAGAGUAGUACAUUCUGCACACACAUCAGUGCUCACAUCACCCCAUAAUGAAGAGAAAAAAAACCAGAGGCACAGUGAUGACUCGGGGGACAGGAAUUAGAGAAAAACUAUUAAGUUUAACAGGACCUCAGGAGCCUUGCAGGAGAUCCUUUCUACUGACCUUUUCCACUACAUGGGGGAGGGAGCAUGACGUUUACCUGUAAAAUUUGAUACCAAGCGUACCUCAUCUAUCUCUGUGAGAGAGACAGAGGCUCAAAGGAAGCAUCUGAGAGGCAGGAGGCCUGGAUGGGAGGAAAGAGAGGUAGAGGUUCCUGUGGUUGAAUCAACAGGAAAAGCCACCCAAUCCCAAGACUGACAGGGAAAAGGAUGACAGCAGUUUGGAUGCUGAUGAGCAGUUCAGACCAGGUCACAGCAAAUGGGCACUGAAAGAAAAGCAGGACGUACAACCCUCAUCCUCAACAAUUAAAAUCAUCCCCAAGGCAUUCCUCUCCCAGGUUUAAGUAUUUAUUUAGCAAUUUAACUAUGAUUAUCUAAGGAUAACAAGUUAUCAUGGCAGUAAAGAUCCUGAUCAUGUGUUAAUAAAAGAGAUCUGUGGGAAAAUG